rnacentral:rRNA from 1 species
UACGUAGGGUGCAAGCGUUAAUCGGAAUUACUGGGCGUAAAGCGUGCGCAGGCGGUGAUGUAAGACAGGUGUGAAAUCCCCGGGCUUAACCUGGGAACUGCAUUUGUGACUGCAUCGCUGGAGUGUGGCAGAGGGGGGUGGAAUUCCGCGUGUAGCAGUGAAAUGCGUAGAGAUGCGGAGGAACACCGAUGGCGAAGGCAGCCCCCUGGGCUAGCACUGACGCUCAGGCACGAAAGCGUGGGGAGCAAACAGG